GGCGCUGUAGCUUAGUGGGUAAAGCUGCCGCCUGCAAUGCGGCAUCCCAUUUGGGCACUUGUUUGGAUCCCGGCUGCUCCA
rnacentral:tRNA from 1 species